UUCGAGCGCAGGAUACCAGAUGACCCCUUCGGGGUGAUUCUGGCGGAAUGAGCGGCGGACGGGUGAGUAACACGUGGGCAACCUGCCUGUAAGACUGGGAUAACUUCGGGAAACCGGAGCUAAUACCGGAUAGUAUUUCCUUUCUCCUGAUUGGAAAUGGAAAGACGGUUUCGGCUGUCACUUACAGAUGGGCCCGCGGUGCAUUAGCUAGUUGGUGGGGUAAUGGCCCACCAAGGCGACGAUGCAUAGCCGACCUGAGAGGGUGAUCGGCCACACUGGGACUGAGACACGGCCCAGACUCCUACGGGAGGCAGCAGUAGGGAAUCUUCCGCAAUGGACGAAAGUCUGACGGAGCAACGCCGCGUGAGCGAUGAAGGCCUUCGGGUCGUAAAGCUCUGUUGUCAGGGAAGAAUAAGUACAAGAGUAACUGCUUGUACCUUGACGGUACCUGACCAGAAAGCCCCGGCUAACUACGUGCCAGCAGCCGCGGUAAUACGUAGGGGGCAAGCGUUGUCCGGAAUUAUUGGGCGUAAAGGGCGCGUAGGCGGUUUCUUAAGUCUGAUGUGAAAGCCCACAGCUUAACUGUGGAGGGUCAUUGGAAACUGGGGAACUUGAGUGCAGAAGAGGAGAGUGGAAUUCCACGUGUAGCGGUGAAAUGCGUAGAUAUGUGGAGGAACACCAGUGGCGAAGGCGACUCUCUGGUCUGUAUGUGACGCUGAGGCGCGAUAGCGUGGGGAGCGAACAGGAUUAGAUAACCUGCUAGUUCACGCCUGAAGCACCGAGUGAUAGGUGU
rnacentral:rRNA from 2 species